rnacentral:lncRNA from 10 species
GUCGUAUGUCUAGAUAAGGUAGGCAGCCACUUGGCUAGAUUAGAAUUGAGGGCCAAGAAAGGUGUCCUAUCACUCCAGAUCUAUGCAAAGCUAUCCUCUCUGCUUUCCUUACUCUAAAAAAUUCUCUUACUGUGGAUUCCUUUGGGUUCCAUUGUGCUCUAAGAGGGGAAGCUGAAUAACGCAUGAAGCUGCAGCAACACCUAAGCAUGAUCCCUAACUGGAGAGCUGUGGAUUUUAACGCAGUAAAAGGAAGAGAGUUCAAGGACAAUGUGCACUAGAGGAUCCAGCAAGAGGCCACUCAACAACUGGCAAUAUUUGGAGAAGGUUGGUGUAAGACCAGAAAAUACCUGGAGCACCAAGCGGGCACAAAAGACAAACUUCAGGCAACAGAGCUUCAUUAAGCUGUACCUUGUGAAAUUCCCAGUUUGGUUGGCCAGAAUUGGUCAAAAACCAGCUCUGGAGUCAAGCAAUCCUGAAGAUAAGUUGGACCUGACAGUAGUGGUUACCCUGUGGUGUGGAGAGAGAAACCGUUUAAGAACAUCUGGUGUAGAAGAUCAGGAAUAUGAAAGAGGCUUCAGGAACAAGGUUUUAUUGGGAAAAUUUAUCAGCCUCUCUACUACAGAUCAAUAAAAACUGACAUUAAAAUCUAACUGGGUUGGGCUUAAUCUGAAGGUUUCUGUGAGACAGAAUCGUGGGUCUUGUCAUCUGCAUGGAGAUUCGCUCAAAUAGAUGAUGGUACAAAAGAAACACCCCUGGCCAGGCGCAGUGGUUCGUGCCUAUAAUCCCAGCAGUUUGGAAGGCCAAGGCCGGCAGGUGGUUUGGGCCCAGGAGUUCAAGACCAGCUUGGACAACAUAAGGAGACCUCAUCUCUACUAAAAAUUAAAAAAAAAAAAAUUAGCUGGGCAUGGUAGCAUGUGCCUGUGGUCCCAGCUACUUGGGAAUCCCAGCUACAUGGGAACUUGAGCCCAAGAGAUUGAGGCUGCAGUGAGCCCUGAUCGCACCACUGCACUCCAGCCUGGGUGACAGGGUGAGACUCUCUGUCUCAAACAAAAAUCAAACAAAAGAAACACUCCAAGAAAAGAGCCAACUCUGGUUUAUGACUCUGUACCCUUAGGUUGAAUGCCAAGUUCAUGGGAAUCAUCCGAGAAGCCGGGACAAGAGCUGCUGUUGAUGGGAGGCUGUGAAUUGUGCUUUUAGUGACUCGCUAAGCAUAGAACACUGACACUCAGGGCACACUGGGUGCUGCAAUUUCCAGAAGGGAAAGGAAAUAAAAAGGGUUCACCUUCUAUGUCUCAAUUUUAUCUCUUAUUAACAGGAACAGCUGGAUAGAGUACACAGAUAUGCUGCUGUGUGAGUCCCUGUGGAAAGGUACCUCCUGGGGAUCACCAGCAGGAAAAGUCCCUCAAACACAGAAAGCUUGGAGGGGACUGAUCCGACAGAGUCAAAGACACUUAGGCUGUUUCAUGUUCAAACAUUAGAGAAUUUUUAUAAAAUCAUAUAGCAGAAUUUAAGAAUUUCUUAGAAAAUAGAUGGGAUAGAUACCAAACACCAAAAUCCGAUCACAUUUAUUAUGACUUUUUCGUGCUUAUUUCUCUCCUCUUUUCACUUACCAGUGAAUAGCCACAUAAUUAUCCUACUAAACCAAUCCAUAAGGCUUCCUGGGAUUCAGCCCAGGGUUUUUAGCUCUAGGAAGCCUUCCUUUCAAUUCUGACAAAGUGGUCAUACCUCUUGGUGUUUUCAUCGCUAUUCAAAUACACAGUAUUGAAAACACAGAUUGAUAUCCUGCCAGCCUCUCAUUUGAUCACCCCAAGGUGAACAGAUUUAUGAGCUGUGACUAUAAGAUAAUGAGGACGCUUUUUAUAAACUCUCUCUUAGAGUGAUACCAACAGGGGCACCAACUAUACUUUGAAUAAUAACCUCAUCUUGAGAAUAAAUG